GAACGCGAAGAACCUUACCAAGGCUUGACAUGCACGGCGGCACUGCAGAGAUGUGGUGGCAUUUAGUUGGUCGUGUGCAGGUGGUGCAUGGUUGUCGUCAGCUCGUGUCGUGAGAUGUUGGGUUAAGUCCCGCAACGAGCGCAACCCUUGCCCUAUGUUGCCAGCACGUUAUGGUGGGGACUCGUGGGGGACUGCCGGGGUUAACUCGGAGGAAGGUGGGGAUGACGUCAAAUCAUCAUGCCCCUUAUGUCUUGGGCUUCACGCAUGCUACAAUGGCUGGUACCGAGGGUUGCGAUACUGUGAGGUGGAGCGAAUCCCUUAAAGCCGGUCUCAGUUCGGAUUGGGGUCUGCAACUCGACCCCAUGAAGGUGGAGUCGCUAGUAAUCGCAGAUCAGCAACGCUGCGGUGAAUACGUUCUCGGGUCUUGUACACACC
rnacentral:rRNA from 1 species